CAACUUUCAGCAACGGAUCUCUUGGCUCUCGCAUCGAUGAAGAACGCAGCGAAAUGCGAUAAGUAAUGUGAAUUGCAGAAUUCAGUGAAUCAUCGAAUCUUUGAACGCACCUUGCGCCCCUUGGUAUUCCGAGGGGCAUGCCUGUUUGAGUGUCAUUU
rnacentral:rRNA from 1 species